GGGUGAUUAGCUCAGCUGGGAGAGCAUCUGCCUUACAAGCAGCGGGUCGGCGGUUCGAUCCCGUCAUCACCCACCA
rnacentral:tRNA from 1 species